rnacentral:rRNA from 1 species
CUUUUACAAUGAAGAGUUUGAUCCUGGCUCAGGAUGAACGCUAGCUACAGGCUUAACACAUGCAAGUCGAGGGGCAGCAUUUCAGUUUGCUUGCAAACUGGAGAUGGCGACCGGCGCACGGGUGAGUAACACGUAUCCAACCUGCCGAUAACUCGGGGAUAGCCUUUCGAAAGAAAGAUUAAUACCCGAUGGUAUAAUCAGACCGCAUGGUCU